UACGUAGGGUGCAAGCGUUGUCCGGAAUUAUUGGGCGUAAAGAGCUCGUAGGCGGUCUGUUGCGUCGGCUGUGAAAACCCGAGGCUCAACCUCGGGCCUGCAGCCGAUACGGGCAGACUAGAGUUCGGUAGGGGAGACUGGAAUUCCUGGUGUAGCGGUGAAAUGCGCAGAUAUCAGGAGGAACACCGGUGGCGAAGGCGGCAUCCUGGACCAACAUUGACGCUGAGACGCGAAAGCGUGGGGAGCAAACAGG
rnacentral:rRNA from 1 species